GUUCUCGCCGGAACCGGAAGUUCUGGUGGGAGGGAGGGGCGGGGUGCGUCGCUUUGGGAAGCGCUGAGAGACCGACCUGGCAGUCUAACCUGUGGACCACUGCGGGGCUAGUAAUCUUCAUGGAAUCUCAGUUUACCCUUCUGAGAAGCGGGCGGCCAAUCCUCCGCAGGCCCAGCACAUAGAUGCCACAGCUGCACUCUUCGGCUUCCCUCCUGCACCCGAGGAACCCCUGGCCAGGGCGGGCAUAGUCGCGGAUUCCGGGUGUCAUCUCUGCCCAGACUGAGGGGGCACGGGGCCUCCAGAAGAAGGAGCCCUGCUCUGCCUGUCGAGUGCUGGCAGGCUUCUGGGAGAAGACAGCUUCGAGCUGAGGCCUGAGGGAUGAGUAGUAGUUCUUAUGCCCCGAGAGUGAUUGAAUGGGAGAGCCUAAGUCUCGAAUUUGAAGACCUUAGGACGCCACCACACGGAGCUCAGAGGAGGUUGCAUCUGACCUUAUUGUUGUAGUGACCCUAUUGUUAAUGGCCUGGGAGACUUUCAAGACGUUUAAAAUGUAUCGAGGGUGCUGACAAGACAGUGAAGACAUUUGGAUUUGAGUGCGGCGUCCCGCGUGUGUAGCAGUCUCCUAGACCCGCAGUGUAGGGGGCGGGGAUAGGGGGAUGACCCUGUGACCACCAUCCUGGCAGGAAGGGCGAGGUCCUGGGGACUGAGAAAUCUUGACUGGCUGGAAAGGCAUAUCCUGGAAGAAAAGGAAUCUGCAGAAUCUGAAGUGGGGGAAAUGGGGGUGGGGAGAAAUAGGGCAGAGUCAAGGACAACUUUGUGGUGUCAAGAUUAGGUGCCUGGGCUGCUGCUUGAGGGGCUCUUGCUCUCGUUUUCGACUCUUUGCGACCCCCUGGACUAUACUGUCUAUGGAAUUCUCCAGGGGAUCUUCCCAACCCAAGGCUCGAACCCAGGUUCCCCACAUUGCCUGGGCCCGGGGUGGCGGGGGCGGUGAUUCUUUACCAGCUGAGCCACAAAGUGAAAGUGAAAGUCGCUCAGUUGUGUGGACUCUUUGCGACCCCAUGGACUAUACAGUCCACGGAAUUCUCCAGGCCAGAAUACUGGAGUGGGUAGCCUAUCCCUUCUCGAGGAGAUGUUCCUAACCCAGGGAUCGAACCAGGGGUCUCCUGCAUUACAGGCGGAUUCUUUACCAACUGAACUAUGAGGGAAGCCACAGUGAGCCUUAGCCUGAGACUACAUUGGGUCUUUGUUUC
ensembl:lncRNA